rnacentral:misc_RNA from 1 species
AACGCAUCUUGCGCUCCUUGGUAUUCCGAGGAGCAUGCCUGUUUGAGUGUCAUUUGAGUUAUCAAAACCAUGCUGAUUUUAUCGUCAUGCAUGGCUUUGGAUAUGGGGGUUUUCUCUUUGCAGGCUUCUGAAAAAUGAGGCCGGCUCCCCUGAAAUGCAUUAGUGGUAUCUGAGCAGAGACUACUUACAGGUGUGAUAAAUCAUCUAUCUAUGCCUCGGUAUGCUGCAUGAAACAGAUUGCACCGCUUAUAACCAGUGGAAAUUUGACAAGUUUGACCUCAAAUCAGGUAGGACUACCCGCUGAACUUAA